rnacentral:misc_RNA from 1 species
CCGAGUUUACAACUCCCAAACCCCUGUGAACAUACCUAUAUGUUGCCUCGGCGGAUCAGCCCGCGCCCCGUAAAACGGGACGGCCCGCCGCAGGAUCCACAAACUCUGUUCUUAUUGUAACUUCUGAGUAACAAAACAAAUAAAUCA